rnacentral:rRNA from 1 species
GAGACCUCAGGUCAGGCGGGGCUACCCGCUGAGUUUAAGCAUAUCAAUAGCGG